rnacentral:rRNA from 1 species
CCUACGGGUGGCAGCAGUCGAGAAUUAUUCACAAUGUGGGAAACCCUGAUGGUGCGACGCCGCGUGGGGGAAUGAAGGUCUUCGGAUUGUAAACCCCUGUCAUGUGGGAGCAAAUUAAAAAGAUAGUACCACAAGAGGAAGAGACGGCUAACUCUGUGCCAGCAGCCGCGGUAAUACAGAGGUCUCAAGCGUUGUUCGGAAUCACUGGGCAUAAAGCGUGCGUAGGCUGUUUCGUAAGUCGUGUGUGAAAGGCGAGGGCUCAACCCGCGGACGGCACAUGAUACUGCGAGACUAGAGUAAUGGAGGGGGAACCGGAAUUCUCGGUGUAGCAGUGAAAUGCGUAGAUAUCGAGAGGAACACUCGUGGCGAAGGCGGGUUCCUGGACAUUAACUGACGCUGAGGCACGAAGGCCAGGGGAGCGAAAGGGAUUAGAUACCCCAGUAGUC